UUAGUAUUCCUUCCGUCCGAAAAUAUUUGUCAUCAAAAUGGAUAAAAAAAGAUGUAUCUAGAACUAAAAUACAACUAGAUACAUCUUUUUUUAUGCGUUUUGAUGACAAGUAUUUCCGGAUGGAUGGAGUAGGAU
rfam:Triticum aestivum genome assembly, contig: Triticum_aestivum_CS42_TGACv1_scaffold_424552_5BS